rnacentral:lncRNA from 1 species
CUACUCCUUUGGUUUGCAAGGUCAGAAUUUUCGGCCCUCUUGAAGCUCCAAGAAACCGUGAAAGCUCCCCUCCUCCUUAGCUAGAUAUAAUCUCCAAGAGGUUUGCUAAGUGGUCUCCAAGUUUGGUGUGAUUUGGAGGUGAUUUGGGGUGGUUUUUGGGGAAGAUUAGUGUGCAGAAUUUUUUUUUGAACAAGGAGUUAGAGAGAGAGGGUGUCUUGGCCGGCCAUGAGGAGAGAGAAGAGAGAGUGUGUUUG